AAGUCCCGCAACGAGCGCAACCCUCGUUCCAUGUUGCCAGCACGUGAUGGUGGGGACUCAUGGGAGACUGCCGGGGUCAACUCGGAGGAAGGUGGGGACGACGUCAAGUCAUCAUGGCCCUUACGGGAUGGGCUACACACGUGCUACAAUGGCAGGUACAGAGGGCAGCAAUACCGCGAGGUGGAGCGAAUCCCACAAAGCUUGUCGUAGUCCGGAUUGGAGUCUGCAACUCGACUCCAUGAAGUCGGAAUCGCUAGUAAUCGUAGAUCAGAAUGCUACGGUGAAUACGUUCCCGGGCCUUG
rnacentral:rRNA from 1 species